rnacentral:rRNA from 1 species
UACGUAGGGUGCAAGCGUUGUCCGGAAUUAUUGGGCGUAAAGAGCUCGUAGGCGGCUUGUUGCGUCGACCGUGAAAACCCGUGGCUCAACUGCGGGCUUGCGGUCGAUACGGGCGGGCUAGAGUUCGGUAGGGGAGACUGGAAUUCCUGGUGUAGCGGUGAAAUGCGCAGAUAUCAGGAGGAACACCGGUGGCGAAGGCGGAUCUCUGGGCCGUAACUGACGCUGAGGAGCGAAAGCAUGGGGAGCGAACAGG